ensembl:lncRNA
GUCGAGGCCCUGGAGACAGGCCAUCUCGAGCUCUGCCCUGUCUCGGGCGUUCCCUUAAAUUCUGGGAACACCACCACGAGGGGCUGCUGUUUAGACCCAGCCCGUGGGUGGGGACACUGAGCUGGCAGAGUUCAAGUGGCUUUCUCAGACCCUAAGCUGUUAGCUGAUGGACCCAGGAUUAGAAAACAGUUGGAUCUGACCCCAAAGUCCAUGCUCUUUCCCCAGCACCAUACUCCUGUUCCAUAUCCAUUUUACAGAAGGGAAAACUGAGGCCCAGGGCGGGCUGCUGAGACAACCAGGCUAAUUGAUGACAACUGGUUGCGUCGAUCGAGUUGCUACUAAGCAUCGGGCACAAACUGUGUCUGAUUCUUACCCCAUCCUCCGGCCAAGGUACUGAUGCUGAUGUGCCCAUUUCACAGACGAAGAAAGCAAGCACAGAGAGGUUCCAUAACUCACCCAAACUCACACAGCAAGUGAGCCACAGGGUCGGAAUCGGAGCCCAGCCAGUAGGACUCGUGCCCUCGUACAAAGCCGGUGUGAACCAGCUGACACCGAGGCUCCUACGAGGAGCGGGACGAGAUGGCGGCAAGGAGCGGGUCGUGGCAUGGGGGGGGCCCUGGCAGACUGAAAUGACGACAUCAGGGUCACUGGCCGAGCGGGGUUGGCCUUUUUCCUUUUUCGUAAGACAAGCACCCUCUGCUUUGACUGCCAUAGCCCAGGCUCUUCUUGGAAACCACCCUGGCCCACCCAGCCCCGACAGGAGGAGCUGGACCUGGGCCUCUCCUGGACUGCAGCUGCCUCCCCUGGCUGGGGAGGGCGUGUCCUGCCCACCCUGUCUGCAAGGCAGCCUGCCCAGGACGGCCAGCCCCCACCCAGCUGACCGCACAGCUGUCCUGCAGGCUGUGCGCCAGCCCUCGGAGGAGCUGCCAGUCCUUCAGCCUCCAAGGCCCUUCUCCGUCCUCCAGGCCCUUCUCCGUCCUCCAGGCCCUUCUCCGUCCUCCAGGCCCUUCUGCGUCCUCCAGGCCCUUCUGCAUCCUCCAGGCCCUUCUCCGUCCUCCAGGCCCUUCUGCAUCCUCCAGGCCUUUCUCCGUCCUCCGUCCUUCAGGCCCUUCUCCAUCCUCCAGGCCCUUCUCCGUCCUCCAGGCCCUUCUCCGUCCUCCAGGCCCUUCUCCGUCCUCCAGGCCCUUCUGCAUCCUCCAGGCCCUUCUCCAUCCUCCAGGCCUUUCUCCAUCCUCCAGGCCCUUCUCCAUCCUCCAGGCCCUUCUCUGUCCUCAAGGCACUUCUGCGUCCUUGGCUGGAGUGGGGAGUCAAUACCCUGAAACAGUCGCUCUGGCAGCCCAGGGUGUCAGCAAUGGCCAAGCUGGUCAGCAGUGAUGGGCGGGGCUCUGGAGCCACUCCCCCCCAGGCCAUGCUGCUCUGCCCGCCCCCUCAGCUGUGUCCAUAGGGCCUCAGGGGCCUGGUGGACUGAAGGUGAGCCAGAGAGGAAGUGCUCCAGAACUCAGGGGCAAGGAGGCCUCCUAAUGGCCCUCUGGGGCUCCGCUCAAAGCUUUAACGCUGCUAAUGGGACACUGGUGCUCAACAGUCCCAAUGCCUGCCCUUUCACUGGCCCCCACGAUGCUCUGUUAGUCCCCACGGUGCCUGUGUGGAGGAAUUCCUACCAUCCCCACAUUACAGGGGAGAUCACUGGGGCUCAGAGAGGUGAAGCAACCCUCCCAAGGUCACACAGCCAUGCGGUAGACCUGGGUGCUGAUCACGGAACCACACAACCAGGCCCUGGGUUGUGGAGUGGGGGUCGGGGGUGGAAAUCGCAAAGGUGCCCAGUGGGAGGCUGGGAUCACAUGGUCACGAAGAUGAGAUGCUCUGGGCUAGAAGGGAGCCCCACGAGGGGCUGGGGGCCCCACCCAGCGUCCUCCCGAUGGGUGUGCACCCCUUCAAUGACAGGACCCCUUCCCACACACCCGCCAGGGCAGCUGCCCGGCCGGUUGCAUGGACGUCUCUGCUUCUGUUGGUGGGCCCUCACCUCACGUUUCCCCUGCCGCCUGGGCCCCCACGGCCGCCUCAGCCUCUCAGCCUAGACCCAGGGCCGACCUCCCAACACCCAUGCUGGGGCAGAUCCUGGUGCCUCUCUGGAAACGCUCCCCAUUUUUAUGAUCAACAGGAGCCUGAUCUCCUGUCCCUGACCUUGAAACUCAGGUGGGACUGAACCUCAAAGGGGGGCCCUGAUUGGCUGAGCCUGCCCCUCUUCCACGGUGGAGGGUUCAAGGUGGGUCCUUUAAGCAACGAGAGCCGAGUCCACGUGAAGGGCCACUUGCCAGAGCUGUUGGGAAGACGUGUUUCUUCCUCCUGCCCAGAAAGGCUCUUUCUUCCCUCCGUGUGAGAACCAGGAAAAUCCACGACUGGUAGUCACCUGUGACCUUGAGGGGGAAGUCUGCCUUGGAAUGGAGGCACCUGAGGAGCAGAACCAAAGAAGGAGAGAAAGCAAGAUGGUCUCGACCCUGGAUCACGCCAUGCCUGAAGCUGUUAUUCCUCCCUAUCAGCUGAGUGAGCCAGUAGGUCCUCUAUAAUGUUGAAGUCAUCUGGACUCAGGUUUCCAGUGGCUACCUGAGACUUAGAUUGUCGUACAGGGGCCGUGCCCAGCCAGAC